GACGAACGCUGGCGGCGUGCUUAACACAUGCAAGUCGAACGAAGAGCGAUGGAAGCUUGCUUCUAUCAAUCUUAGUGGCGAACGGGUGAGUAACGCGUAAUCAACCUGCCCUUCAGAGGGGGACAACAGUUGGAAACGACUGCUAAUACCGCAUACGAUCCAAUCUCGGCAUCGGGACUGGAUGAAAGGUGGCCUCUAUUUAUAAGCUAUCACUGAAGGAGGGGAUUGCGUCUGAUUAGCUAGUUGGAGGGGUAACGGCCCACCAAGGCGAUGAUCAGUAGACGGUCUGAGAGGAUGAACGGCCACAUUGGGACUGAGACACGGCCCAGACUCCUACGGGAGGCAGCAGUGGGGAAUCUUCCGCAAGGGACGAAAGUCUGACGGAUCAACGCCGCGUGAGUGAUGACGGCCUUCGGGUUGUAAAGCUCUGUUAAUCGGGACGAAUGGUUCUUGUGCGAAUAGUGCGAGGAUUUGACGGUACCGGAAUAGAAAGCCACGGCUAACUACGUG
rnacentral:rRNA from 1 species